UUGUCCCUGCGAUGUUCGUGUUGAAGCGGAAGAUUUUGGACCAACACCAAAAAAAAGGGAGCCUGGCUUAGGCGUGGCUGUAGACCUUGUAAUUUUAAAUAACAAGGGAACAAUAAGCGCCUGACAGGGCACCCACCUGCUUUAAGGGUUCAUUAAUACAUCCUUUCACACGGCAUAAGUGGGGAUUUA
rnacentral:other from 1 species